AGCUUUGUGCAGUGGCAGCAUCAUAGCCAAUGAGGUUUAUCCGAGGCACAAUUAUUGCUGAUUGAAAACUUUUCCCAAAUAUG
rnacentral:snRNA from 1 species